rnacentral:rRNA from 1 species
CGGAUUGAAGGCUGAAAUUCGCCUUCAUGAAGCUGGAAUUGCUAGUAAUGGCAGGUCAGCAUACUGCCGUGAAUACGUUCCCGGGCCUUGUACACACCGCCCGUCACACCAUGAGAGUUGGAAAUACCCGAAGCCUGUGAGCUAACUUAAAGAGGCAGCAGUCGAAGGUAGAGCCAAUGAUUGGGGUGAAGUCGUAACAAGGUAAC